GGAGGCAGCCUGGAGAUGGCACAAGAGCCUGGGGAAGACGCCAGACCGGUUGGGAAGUUAGCGUGGUCACAGUGCAAGGCAGUCCGUCACCUCAUCAUGAAGUUCAGGCUCUCUCACAUGCAUGGCUACUUGGCCGCCAUCAUCCAGCUCAUCUUUUUAGUACUCUUCUGUAUCUUCGUCAGAUACCACCCAGAUGCCGACGCACGCCAGCACCCUCUGCCAGCCAACUCCACGGAGCUGGACAACGAGCUGGCCCACGACAAGAGCGACGACCCCAGGAUACACGCCAAGACCUACCCCAUGUUUCAGGAUGUACAUGUGAUGAUCUUCGUGGGCUUCGGGUUUUUAAUGACGUUCUUGAAGAAAUAUGGCUUCAGCGCAGUGGGCCUCAACUUCAUGAUAUCAGGGCUGUGCCUCCAGUGGGCCAUCCUUAUCCAUGGCUUCUUCCACCUCCAUUAUGGCAAAAUUCUCUUAGAUCUAAAUGCGCUGCUGGGGGCAGACUUCUCCACAGCGACUGUGCUCAUUACCUUUGGGGCGGUGCUAGGCAAGACUACACCCACCCAGCUCCUCCUGAUGGCCAUGCUGGAGAUCCCGCUCUUCAUUAUCAACGAGGUCAUCGGAAGGCAGUACCUAGGGGCAGUUGACAUGGGGGACUCGAUGUUUGUACACACCUUCGGCGCCUACUUCGGGUUGGGCCUGAGUCUCAUGCUGUACCGGCGCGACAACUCCACCGAGAAGGAAGGCUCGAGCUAUCAGUCGGACAUAUUCGCAAUGAUCGGUACACUGUUCCUAUGGUUGUACUGGCCAUCGUUCAAUGCGGGGGCAGCCGUUGGAGACGACCAGCACAGAGCAAUCAUCAACACCUAUGUCUCCCUCAUUGCCUGCUGUCUUACUGCCUUUGCUCUCUCUUCUAUCCUCCACAAGGAAAAGAAGUUUGAUAUGGUUCAUAUACAGAACAGCACUCUGGCAGGAGGUGUGGCAGUGGGCACGUCGGCUGACAUGAUGAUUGAACCCUGGGGCGCUCUCCUGAUUGGAAUGAUUGCUGGCACCCUCUCUGUCGUAGGCUACAUGUACCUCACUCCAUUCCUGGCCUCACGCCUGAGGAUCCAUGACACAUGUGGUGUGAAUAACCUCCAUGGCAUGCCUGGCAUUCUGGCUGGAAUCAUUGGCUGCAUUGUAGCGGCCAUGGCAUCCGAGGCCACUUACGGACCAAGCUUAUACGAGAUCUUCCCAGCACGGGCACCCCCUGCUGGAACACCAGAGCUGGACCAGUUACGAGCCUACCUACCUGAUUUGGAAGGCGGGUCAGGAAUCUCGGCUGCUGCGCAAGCCACCAAUCAAAUUCUCGCUCUCAUAAUCACCAUGGUCAUCUCUCUCGCUGGAGGAAUUGCCUCAGGUCUGAUCCUCAGGCUGAAGCCCUUUGCAUCACUCAAGACAGAUGAACUAUAUGAGGAUGAGAAAUAUUGGCUGUUGGAAGAAGGAGAGGAGGAGGAGGAUGCCCAUAAAGCUACCGUCAACAUACCCAUGCAUUCUGGAGCUGACAAUGGCACCACCAAGUAAAGCCUCACACAAGUCACCACAAUGGCCACCAUCCUGCAUUUGGCUACUUGCUCUUACGUGGAUGCCUCACUGGGUCCUCUCCUAGCUUCAUAACGCCCGGAAUUCUGCUGGUCUCCCUCACGUCUGCAUCAGAGGUGGAGUUAACAUGGAUCCAGCUCCUGUUUUGGCCCAGGAAUUUGUCCCUACUAAAGUCAUCAUUAUAUUUACUAAAGCACAUAUAGAGUUUGUCACAAUUUCUACUUUCCAUUAGUUAAAAUAUUUUUAAGAUAUAUUGAAGCUAUCAAUGUAUAGGUAUAGCUUUACUGGUAUUCUAGUGAUCUGCCAGUCACUACAGCUGUCAUUUUCUUGUAAAGGUACAUUAUCAACCCUAGUGUAUAUAACCACCUAUUAAGUCAAUACUGUAUUUACACAAUGAGAUUAAAAUAAUACUAAACAAAGUAAUGUACCUUGUAAGAAAGCAAACUUCUAAAAAUGUAUUAUAAUUACUUUGCUAAAUUUAAGCCACUAGUUUAGUUCUCUUGUAUGGUCAUAUAAUGGUAAAGAGGCUUGUAUAUAAAUAGGGGAGUGUUUAUUGAAGCCAAAUGGUUAUCUAACAACAAAAAUUACUUUCUCAAAGUCUACAGUUUUAAACAAAUUCUGAUACUGUAAUAAACAAGACAUAUUCUCUGAUAAUGCACAGGCUACCUGUGCCAUGGUCAAGAGGUACACUUAGUAGAUGUAACAAAAUAAUACAUAAUUCACUUAAAACACAAUACGAUAGUAGAACCCAUCUACAACAAAAUUUAAUUGAGAUGACGACAGCCUAGUAAAGCUGGGAGAAGUAUAGGCCUGUGGUGGUAGUAUAUUAUUACAUACCAUACUGUAAUUUUUAUACACAGUCCAAGAUAUAUAUAAUAAAGAAUAUAAUUUUAAA
rnacentral:misc_RNA from 1 species